UAAGUUAACUUUGCAAGAACCCUUUCUUGUAUCUAUAUCUAUAAGUUUGCUUUACAUCGUGAUUCACGAAACAUGCAUCAUGGAGAUGGAAGUAAUAAGGUUUCUUUGUGAAGAAAAUCUUCUCAGAAAGUGGAUAAGUUUUGUGUGGGUGUUAGUCGGUUUAACAGUAAAAAAAUCUGUUUAAAUUAGUAUAAGAAAUUAAGAGUUCGAAUCUCGCUGUCAUAAGAUUUUAUUUCAUGCAUGCGUAAUUGGUUCUGCAUGCAUAAAUUAAUUAAUUUUUUUUUUUUUUGGUGUUCUUUUCUCGUAGACAUUGGAGUAAUGAGUGGAGCUGCACUCUACAUCAAAGACGACUUUAAAGUCAGUGACACACAAAUCGAGAUCUUAAUUGGAAUCUUGAAUAUUUACUCACUCAUCGGCUCACUGGCCGCCGGCAGAACCUCCGACUGGAUUGGCCGCCGGUACACUAUCGUGUUAGCCGGGGCCAUCUUCUUCGCCGGAGCGCUGCUCAUGGGGUUCGCCACAAACUAUGCUUUCCUCAUGGGGGGUCGCUUCGUCGCCGGUGUCGGCGUCGGAUACGCUCUCAUGAUCGCUCCCGUUUACACAGCUGAACUCUCUCCGGCUUCCACUCGAGGCUUUCUCACCUCAUUUCCUGAGGUUUGUGCUUCUUCUUCUUGUUUUUGGAAAUGGCUUUCUUGUUUCUUAAAACAGAAACAAUUUUGAACGGAUGAUACUUUUACUUUCCAAAGUUUUGAAGUACAACCCUUCAAAACACUCAAAUGAGUAACGGUAUAAAUGCGUUUCUCUCUUUUUGUAUUUUAAGAUUUUAUCGCCUAAAUCCGUGACGUACUGACGUAUUAAUUAAAUAAAGUAAUCUCUAGUCUCCUCACUAGUGUUAGGACCUAUCUUAAAAACCAAGCUAAUAUUUGACACUUAACUAAAUAUAAUAAAAUAUAAGGGGUUUAUUGAUAUUAUCCUCUUUUCAACGUUUCAGGUUUUCAUUAACGGCGGGAUAUUACUUGGCUACGUCUCGAACUACGGAUUCUCCAAACUACCCCUCCACUUAGGCUGGCGCAUGAUGCUCGGAAUCGGCGCCAUUCCGUCGGUGCUUCUCGCCGUCGGCGUGUUAGCCAUGCCAGAAUCUCCGCGCUGGCUGGUGAUGCAAGGCCGACUCGCCGAUGCAAAGAAAGUUCUCGACAAAACCUCGGACUCGAAAGAGGAGUCUAUGCUCAGACUCGCCGAUAUCAAAGAAGCAGCCGGCAUUCCUGAAGACUGCAACGACGACGUCGUUCAAGUACCGAAAAUCAACCGUGGCGAAGGCGUAUGGAAAGAGCUGCUGGUCCGUCCUACACCAGCCGUUCGUCACAUCAUAGUCGCAGCCGUUGGUAUUCAUUUCUUCCAACAAGCAUCCGGCAUAGACGCUGUCGUUCUGUACAGUCCUAGAAUCUUUGAAAAAGCUGGGAUUGCGUCAUCAGACAAAAAGUUGCUCGCUACUGUAGCCGUUGGAUUUGUCAAGACCAUUUUCAUCCUAGUGGCUACGUUUUUACUCGACAAAAUCGGACGGCGUCCGUUGCUUUUGAGCAGUGUUGCGGGCAUGAUCGCCUCGCUCGCGACCCUUGCUAUCUCUCUCACAGUCAUAGAUCAGUCACACAAAAAGAUGAUCUGGGCUAUUGGUUUGGCCAUCUCAACGGUUUUAUCCUACGUGGCGUUUUUCUCAAUCGGGAUGGGUCCCAUCACGUGGGUUUACAGUUCAGAGAUUCUGCCGUUGAAGCUACGCGCUCAGGGAGCGAGUAUCGGGGUCAUGGUAAACAGGGUAACAAGUGGGGUCGUAUCGAUGACUUUCCUAUCGCUUAGUAAAGCGAUCACGAUUGGCGGCUCCUUCUUUCUAUACGCGUCAAUUGCAUCAGUUGCGUGGGUGUUUUUCUACACGUGUCUCCCCGAAACGCAGGGUAAAACCCUUGAAGAGAUGGGGGCGCUCUUUGGUAAUUUCCGUUGGCUGAGGGAUUCCAAGAGAGAGAAGAGGAGGAACAAAGCCAACGAGAUUAACGGUGACGGUGCGAGUAACGUUCAGUUAGGGCCGGUUUCUAACGGUAACUGAAGGGUAUUUUAGUAAAUACGAUGCUUUUUAAAAUCUUGGUGUAGCUUUGUAAAAUGAAUACUGUGUCGUGGUGUGUGUGUGCUGAUCACUAAUGGGCGAUUGAAGAAGUCAUUAUGCAAUGAAAAUGAAGCACUAUGAAUCAAAUAGAUAUAAUACUUCUUAUAAUUCCUAUCUCUUUAAAAUUUGCGUGAAUGGUUAAAAUUUUGGUUCGCAUUGCAAUGAUGAUUCUAAUGCCUCAAUUGUCAUUCUGGAAUUGAGCAAAAAUGUUAUGCCUAAAACCUUUUGUAAUCGUAUUUAAUUCGAUAGACAUAUUCAAGUUUAUUUAUUUGAUUCGAUUGACAUAAUGUGACUAAAUUUCUAUGUAAGUAGUAACCAAAGAACGUAAUUGUACUUCAAUAACUCUUGUUAUAAUGAUUAAUGAAUUAGUGGAAAUGGCAAAAUAAAUUAUGAGGAAGUGGGAAAGCUCCAAUUAUUGAGGAGAUAGAUAUAUAUGUUGUGAUCAACAAAGUGUCUUUGUGCAUGCAUUUGGGGCUGAAAUUGCCAUGCGCUUGGACACUUCAUUGUUGGUGGUGAAUGGUGAUGGUUAUUUUUCUUUUUUGUUUUGUUUGGAAAUUUUUUCUUUUUUUUUUGAAGAAAUUAUUAUAAUUUUUGCUUGGCUAUGCCCUUUCUUACCUAUAAAUUUUCGUCUUUUUAUAAUAAAAGAGAUUAGUUUAUGUGGUUUAUGUUAUGUGGCUUUUAGAAUAAGUGGUCCAUUCGUGCAUAUGUCGACGGUCGAUUGAAUUGACUGCUUAUAAAGUUUAUUUGAAGUAGAAACAAAGAGACCUCGCAAUUUUUAUGCAUGUUGCCUUUUCCUAGUUUAGUUUAAUUCGGAAAUCAUGAUAUGUUUAUAAUAAAAUUUCGGACAUGGGCUUUUUACCGAAAUAUUAGCUAAAGAAGGAAUGGUCCCCUCCAAAAAAGGCGUAAUUAUUAAUGUUUUUUUUCUUGGUGUGUGAAUUGUGAAAUGCGUGAUCAAAACAAGCUGACGCUGUAAAUUAAGUAACCUUCUUUGGUUUUUUAGGUAAGACAAUAGUAUUAACUUUGAAGGUUUUCAAUUCCUCGGAAAUUUGUCUUAGUAAAACUUACCCAUAUAAGUUGUGCAUUUUGAAGCGACAUAACAGGAAAAGAUUUCAGUACAUAAUAAGGUCUACAAAGUAACAAGAUUUUCAUAUUUUUUUUAAAUAAAACAAAUGUACAUGCAACCAUACGACCCUAAUUACCAAAACCAAGAGAUGAAAAUGCAAGAUACGAGCGCCCGUAAGCGAUCAAAUAAUGAGGCAUUUGAUGUGGUGUUUUCAAUACAUGGAUCAGCGCAUAAUCGGUCUGUGCUGGGAAUUUCAAUCUCAUGCUGACAGCGCACCUGCUUGAUAUCUUGAGAGAUCACGUUUCAGGGACCCAUCAUCCUAAUUAUUAUAUACCGUCCAUGCAUUAAUGUUAAUAUGCCCAUUGAUGAAUGGUUUUGCAGCUUGAGUAAGACGGUGGCAAUUGGCAAAUCCUACACGUUUUUUAAUUUUGUCACUCUAUUAUCAUUUAUCACUAGGACAAAGUAACGAACACCGACAUCAGACUGGCCUCUUGUCUUAUAAAGGAAAGAGUUCUGAUAUUUGCCCCGAGUCAAACCCCGAAACAAAAUAAAACGACGCCGUUUGUUUUUUUUUUUUUUUUUUACUUCUCUAAAACGUUGCCGUUUGACUUAGCAUUUGCAAAAUGACUCUGCAGAAUCCCUGCGUCUCUCUUCUUCUUUGUUCGACUUAACAACUGUUUUUCUCUUCAUCCUCUUCGUCUUAAGCUGUGAUCUUUCUCUUACAAAGAACACACCCAUUUAAUGAAGAAAGUGAUUAACAGCAGCUGCAAAAUUUGUCCGUGAAAGCUAAGUUUCAGCGGAACAAGAUCAACAGCGGCUGUGAAGUUUCGGCAGAACAAGAUUAACUGAGUAUUUGUUUCUAUAUUGCAUUUUGAAUGUUGAUUAAUGAGCUGGGCAUUUGUUUGUAUAUCCCAACCUUAUACUGCAAUGCUUUUACAAAGGUUGAAUUUGGAGAAGAAGAAAUCAACUACUCACAAUAAAUGAAUCUCAAAUUAAUAAUUUUACCGCGAAUUAGGAAGUACAAUCAACCUAGCAUAAGAAUCCAAAACUUUAAACCACCACAAUUUCCUCACCUUAUCUGCUACAAGCAUAGCAUGAAGAUGAACAAAAGCAUGUGAGGCAUCACCCAUAACAGCCUCUUUAGACAGAUUCUGCAGCUACUCAUAUCUGUCAGAUAUACAUGCACAAGUGCGUGGGUGUGUAAAUACAGAGAGAGAGAGGGCAAAUUAUCCUGAGUUAGAAAUUAUCCUGCUUCUCCAUUAUUUCGAGCUGUUUUUUUUACGGGAGAGAGUUGAACACAACAAUACUCAGAGGAGGGUUUGCGAAGAAGAUGAAGAAAUAGAUUUAUGAAUGAGAGGGAGGGAUGAGGGUUUUUUGCAGAGUGUUGCACCAGUUUGUGUAGUAAUCUUUGAAGGUAAGUGUUUGCGAUUUCUUGCGGGAGAAAAGAAAAGCAAAGGAUCUUGGCAUCUUUGAAGAAGAUGAUGAUUUGAACUUGAUGUGAGCAAAUUUGUUGUUUCUUCAUAAGCAGCCAGAGAAAAUGAUACAGGAAAGAGUUAAGUGAAAGAUGGGAAACAAAUAAGUAAAGGGGAAAUAGGCAAGCAAAACGCACUGUUCCUUGGCUUUAGUUGUGAAACGGUGCGUUUUGAGUUUUCGGAGUUUGACUCGGGGCAAACAUCAUUUUCCUAAAAGAAAACACUACACUAGAGUAUCUCUAACUAAUACAACGAAAAGGUUCGAUAAAAAAUAAUGUCAUGUCAGUUGUAUCUAUAUGACCAAAUUCACACCUUCUUUCACCUGCUGAUGCAGUAAGCUGUAGAAGUGUGAUUGAUCAAUCGACACUAAAAAUUAUAUCUAUACUGUUGGGGAAAAAUACAGGUUUUUAAAUUUUUAUAAAAUCUUUUUAAGAUCGCUCUCAUAUAAUAUAUAAGAAUACGUAAUCUAGAAAUCGUACCUUAAAAAUUUGAUUUGACUUUUUCCGCUGAAGUGAUUUAGGCUCUCAGAUCACGAUCCGUCACCACCACUCCUGUUAGAUCACGAUCCGUCACCACCACGCUUGUUAGAACACGAACUGGCACCAAUGAUCUUCUAAGUUAUGACUCAGGUUUGAUCUGCACUUGACGUGUGGACGCCUUUAUCACUACCAAAGCAACUAGCACGAGAAAAUUUUUCUCUCAACAAUAGAGAGAAAAAUCUUUUUCUCUGAUCUGUAUAAAGUGGCUACUCACCUUUUUCUUUAGAGAAAAUAAGCCUUUUUAUAUCUCCCUUUAGUGAAAACCCUAGGCUCCAAAUAAUGAAAAACAAAACUCAGGUUACUUGCUUUUUCUAUAGGGGACCCACCUUGUAAAAUAACAUAAGGCCCCUUACACACAAGUUAAUUAAAUAGAGCCUCCAACUAAAUGAUAUAUUUAGCCUUUUGACCCAAAUAGCUAGUUAUCUUGCUUAUUAAUCCAGUAGUGGUGCAGUCAAUUAAAUGAGCUAACCCGAGGAUCAUUUGGGAACAUACAAUAGUGGCUACAAUAAUUAGGUCUGUAAUUAAACUAGCCCAAUUAUUUAAUUCCAAAUCUACUCCACUAAAAGAUUGGAACUGACUUCCAUAAUUGUAUGCUCGAAUAAUAAUUCGUCCCAAGCCAUAUUGAUUUCUUUACUGCACAAUCAUUUGUACCACAUCGUUAAUUAAAUUGAUAUCUCAACUGUCCAAUCAAUUUAAUUAAAUCUUAUUCCUUGAUACUUACUGGUUUUCUCUAAUGAUCAUUUUCAGAAAAAAUAUUUAUUAUAAUUAAAUAAACACAUAUGCUUUUAAAGAGCAUAUUUUCCCAACAAUCUCCCACUAGCUCUUAAAGCAUAUCUGGCAUAUUGCACAUGCUCUAGGGCUCUAAGUGCAGGUUAUAAAGGUUUCCCACUAAUGGCCAUUGUAAUAAGAUCUGUCGUUUAGCAUCUAAUGUCACUUGGGGUACUGUCAUAUAACAUUUCUACACUAUUCCCUUAUAUGAUGAUACUUCCUCUCAAUAUGUUUUUGUUUCUUGUGGUUCCUUGGUUUCUUAGAUUGAGCUACCGCACCACUAUUAUCGCAAAAUAGUUUAAGGGGUGCAGUUAUAACAGGUACCACCUCAAGAUCUUAUAAGAACUUGCAGAGCCAUACAGCUUCUUUUGCAGCUUUGGAUGCAGCCACAUAUUCAGCUUCAGUUGUGGAGUCUGCGAUACAAGAUUGUUUCACACUCCUCCAACUAAUAGCUCCACUUCCCAAUGUAAACACAUAGCCGGAAGUUGAUUUUCUGAAAUCCUUAUCUGACAUAAAGUCAGAAUUAGUAUAACCCACUGAAAUAAGUUCAUCACCAGAAUACACAAGCAUAUAAUUUUUAGUUCUUUUCAUAUACUUUAUAAUAUGCUCGACUGCAUUCCAGUAUUGAGGUUCAGGAUUAAAUUGAUAUCUGCAAACCAUCCAUACCGCAAAACAGACGUCUGGCCUAGUGCAAAGCAUGACAUACAUGAGACUUCCCACAGCUUCUGCAUAGGGAACUCAUCUCAUUCUCUCUAUCUCUUCAGAUGUUUUAGGUAAUUGAUCCUUAGAGAAUGUAAUUCCAUGUCUGAAUGGUAAUAAACCAGUCUUGGAAUUUUCUAUGCUAAAUCUAGCCAAUAUCUUAUUGAUAUAGACCGCUUGAGACAACGCUAAAGUUUUAUUCUUCCGGUCUCGUAGUAACUUGAUACCAAGAAUAUAACUUGCCUCUCUAAGGUCUUUCAUAUCAAAUUGUUUUGCUAACCAACUCUUUAUUGUAGUCAAUACUCUUAUAUCGUUUCCAAUUAGGAGAAUAUCGUUUACAUAAAGAAUUAUGAAGGUUAUAGAUUUUUCUUGACUUUUCUUGUACACACAUGGUUCAUCAAUGUUCUGAAUGAAUCCAAACGAUUUAAUCGCUUGAUCAAAUCUGAUGUUCAAUGACCGAGAUGCUUGCUUCAAUCCAUAAAUUGAUCUCUGCAACUUACAUACCAUGUGUUCUUGGCCUUUUUGUAUAAAUCCAUCUGGUUGCUGCAUGUAGAUGUUUUCUUUAAGAUGCCCGUUAAGAAAGGCAGUCUUGACAUCCAUUUGCCAAAUUUCAUAAUCUAGCACUACAGCAAUUGAGAGCAGAAUCCUGAUGGAUUUAAGCAUAACAACCGGAGAAAAUGUUUCCUCCUAAUCGAUUCCCUCUUUCUGAGUAAACCCUUUGGCUACUAAUCUUGCUUUAAAUAUUUCCACCCUUCCGUCUACUCCUCUUUUUCUCUUGUAGAUCCACUUGCACCCUAUAGGUUUUACCCCAUUUGGUGCCUCUACAACUUCCCAGACUUUAUUAGAAUACAUAGAUUUCAUUUCUUGAUUCAUGGCAUUUUUUCCAAAAUUCAACAUCUCUAUCUAUUAGAGCUUCGUUGUAACUAGUGAGAUCUUGUACAUGUUCAUCUGAGAUAGCCGUAUAGGUUUCUCCUAAAAGCAUGUAUCUCGCAGGUAACCUAGUUACCCUCCCACUACAAUGAGGUUCUAAAAGUGAUAGUUGUUCAGGGAUAAUCUUGUGUUGAUCAUCUUGUUGUUGUUGUUCUUCUUGUUUUGUAACAGGCGUUGAAAGCUGAGCAUCAACCUGAUCACCUUUUUUAUUUCUCUAGUUUUACCUUACUCUUAGGUAAGAAGUCAUUAUAUAGUCUUCCUCAAAGAAAGUAAAGAAUAUGUCCACAAAUACAUUCCUAUCUUGAGGACUAUAAUUCAGACUUUCCUUUAUUCCAUUAAGAUACCUUAAACAUGCAAGCUUCUGAACACAAAUCCAUCUUCUCUACCUCUGAUUCUAGUAGAAAUACUAGUAAACUCCAAAUACGAAUGUGUCUCAAACCAUGUUUGUGACUUUUUCAUAAUUUCUUGGAGUAGUAGACACCAAGAUAGAUGAAACUAAGUUCAAUAAACUUUGUAGUAUUAAAUAUUAGUAUUUUGAAUCAAAAAGGUAAAUGAUAAACCACUUAGUAUAUAUCUUGUUUUAUCUAAAAGAAUCUUGUUUCUCCAUUUAAUUAAACUAUUGUAUCAUAGUGUUCAUUAACAACCAAAUAGUGCUUGAAUUCUCCAUAGAGAUAUUCUUUGUUUCAAUCAUAUCGAAGUUCUUUUAUGUUCCUGUCUAAUUGCUUCUGUCUUAUCCACGUACUCUUUUGAAUUUCAAAAGCAAUGGAAUCAUGAUGCAUUUAGACAAACAUAAAAAAAAAAAUAAAUAUCCAUCAACAAGAUUAAUAGAAUACUCAUAACCUCUUAUAACAUGUAAACUGAUUAGUCUGUAUACAUUUGUAUGCGCUAAAUCAUCAAAUACAAUGUUAUGCUUUUAGCUCUAAACGAGCAUCCUCGUCAUAUUACUUUUCUAAAUAAGAUUUAUAGAGUUACAUUGAUCAAUCUUAAUAGGCCAACAAGUCUAUCAUUAAUCAUUUUCUUAAACUCUUAUUAUAGUUUAUAUGACUUUAGCAUAAAUAUCAGAGGUGAUUUUGGUUUUAAGAAACAUUUCUUUUCUUAGAUAAAUGCAUAUACUCUUUAUCAUUAUAUCUUGCUUUGAAUAGAUCAAUGGACUUAUAUGAUACAAAUUGUCUUUAUAAAUAACCAAAAUAAAUAAUAAACAGAGGAUCAAAAAAUAAUAGUGUACUCCUGUUUAUUAAAACAAGUCACCGAAAUUAAAUUCCUCCAAUAUUUGGAAAAAUAAAGACAAAUAUCAAAACUUUAAGUCUUUUAAAAUUAAUCUAGCCUUUCAAUUGAUAUAAACUAGCAUGUCCUCAACUGCUGUUUGAAGCUUUCUUCACUUAAUCUCUUGGUUUCCUGAAAACCAAAUAAAUGAAUUACAAAUAAGAUUAGUUAUCUCAGAAUUCAUUAUUGUAUGAAUCAAUAGAAAUCUGAACUAAUUAGGAAGCUUAAAGAUUUCCUAUACCUGAUUUUAAUAAUCUUAGGACAAUCUUUCUUCUAGUGACCCUUCUGUCCACAUUUGUAACACUUGCCUUUUGGCUUGCCACUUCUUUUAGUGGACAGUUUGCCGAUCCCAAUUCUUGCUUGCUCAUUUUUGUCUUUCGACUUAAGCCUUAAAGAGAAUCCUUUUUCAGGAAGUUUGCUGCUAUGAUAAAAUUCUUUUAUAGCAUGUAGUUCGUGCAUUAUUUCAAUUAAGGUCAUAUCUUUAUUGUUUAAGAUAUAGCUGACCUUAAACUCUUUUAAUGUAUCAUGUAAAGAUUCAAUCACCAUGUUAAUCUUUGGUUUAUCAUUUAUUUGAACACCAUGAAUCUCUACCUUAUUCAAAUAUUCCAUCAUUUUGAGGACAUGAUCACGAACUUUUGUGCACUCUUCCAUCUUAGUAUCCAUAAUACGUUUUAAUGCUGCUUCUCUAGCAAAAUGAGUAUUUUGCCCAAACAUCUGAUGAAGACUAGCCAUUAUUCCAGUGGUUGUUUCCAUGCACCGAUGUUUCUUAUGUCGUUCCACAUAAAUCGAAGCCAAUAUAUAGCGCUUAGCCAUUUUGUUAGCUUCGCACCAUUUCUUAUAAGGCUCCCUCUGAUUUCUAUAAUCGUAUAAUGAUGGUUCAGGAGGACAAGGCUGGGUCAACACAUAUUUGCAGCCCUUAGCAGUGAGAAUAUUAAAUAGAUUGUGUUUCCAAUCUAAAUAAUUUUCGUCAGUGAGUUCAUUUUAACAAGGAUAAUUAAUAAUGGGUUGAUGGAAGACAUUUUCUAAAAAAACAAAAUGCACAUGUAUAAAUACUUUGAAACAAAAUUCACAAUAAAUGACAAAAAUGCAAAAAAAAUAAAUGCAUUUUAAUUUAUUGUAACGAUAAUCUAGUACCGCUUUGACAAGCUAUCCGUUGGGGAAGUUACGUCUACACUUACUAGACCCAAUUAUCCAUUGGAUUAUUUACUUUCAUGUAGAGACAUGAUAAAUAAUUAUUGUUAUCCAUUUGGGCCUAAAUUUGUUAACAGAGCUUCGUUGGGAAGGUUAAUAAUAAAUUUUAGUUGAGUGUAUAACCAUUGUUUCAAUCUACGUAUUUUUCAUAUCAAUAGUCGCCGUUGGGGUGAACAAUUGAUUGAAAAAAUAUUUCAAUUUUAUUUUUGAAGAAGUUCAUCAAAUAAAAUAUCUAAUAUAUAUACCCUCCGUAUGGAGCAUCACCGUAUCAUGAAGUCGAUGUAUAUAUAUAAUUUUAUUAUUGAACUAACAAUGGAGCUCGUGGGAAAAAUUAUCUUGAAUUUUCCCUCUCCCACUCAAUAUUUUAAAAAUUGGUUUUUCCUUUUUAAAACAUACAUAUUGUUAAUUGCAUGCUUCCUAUAAUAUUAUCUAGAUGAUAUCCAAUAUUAUUAAGCAUAUGCAAAUUACAAACAAUAUAGCGAGAUUCAUAAUUAAUGAAUGACAUGUAUCAUUAUGCAUAGAGUGGCACUACCUAUUCUAUAUGACAUGUUAUCAUGACAUGUUUUCAUCCAAAACAUAACAUAUAGAAAAAUAAUUAAAUAAUCUUAAUUCAUGGCUUUCUUAAUAAUGAAAAAUACAUUAACCCUAAGCCUAAUCUUCAUUGGGCUUCUUGUCAAUGUCCAUCUUCCAUAAGCUUGUCUUUAAUGGACUAGAGGAAAUUGGGCUUUUAAAUUUAUAAUUGAUCCAAUUUUAAUUUUGAAAAGGAAAUAAAUAAAUAAAUAAAUUUAUUAAAAUAAAACUUUUGGACCAAAAAUAAAUUUAAUGUAUUCAAUUUUAUCUAUGCAUUUUAAACCAUUAAGCCUUAUUGAAAUUGGGCCUAAAGCUAUGAUUCAUUAAGCCCAAAACUGUUUUUGGACUUAAAUGCAAAAAAUUUAAACAUGUCUGCCCAAAAGAAAAAACUAUGGAGCCAUAGGGACCUCAAUGAUAGAAACCAUUGAAACCCUAAAUCCAUCUUUUUCUCUUUCCUUUCUUCCCCAGCCGCCAUCUCCAAAAAAACAGCCAUUGUUCGCUAUUUUUGCACCGAACAGCCACGCCAUCAACACUGGAAACAAACCAACCCUGCGCGCGAUGCUUGCUGGAGCGCACGCUGCUACUGCGCGCGCCGCUAGCCAGGCUGGCUACGCGCAUCGCUUGCUGCGCGCUGCUGGCAGCGUGUGCUGCCUGCUGCAUGCAUUGCCAGCAUGCGCUUAUAGCGUGUACUGCACAUUGGCUGCAGCGAGUGCGCUGGUCGGUGGUCGCUGUCGAAAUUUCCGGCCUCUGUCGCUUUGAGCUCGUUUUCUAGUGAUGAUUUUUCAGUGAUUUACAAAUUUUCUAUGCCAAUUUUUGGCUUACAAAAUUUCCAUUACAGUAAAAUAAAUCAAGAGGGAAACAUGGUGAUGAAAAGCCACCCGUCUUGUUACAGAUCCAAAUGAAAAAUACAGCAGAAAAUCUAACCAUAAAUUAAGACAAACCAAAACAUGCUUUAUUCAUAUAUUAAACAAAUAAUAUAUAUAUAUGAAUAAAUUGUGCCACUCUAAUACAUAAAUUUCAAAAAUGAUUUCAUACAAUAUUCUUAUAUAUUAAUAUGAGAUGGCUCUAAUACCAAUUGUUGGGGAAAAAUACAAGUUUUUAAAUUUUUAUAAAACUUUUUUAAGAUCGCUCUCAUAUAAUAUAUAAGAAUACGUAAUCUAGAAAUCGUACCUUGAAAAUCCGAUUUGACUUUUUCCGCAGAAGUGAUUUAGGCUCCCAGAUCACGAUCCGUCACCACCACUCCUGUUAGAUCAUGAUCCGUCACCACCACGCUUGUUAGAACACGAACUGACACCAAUGAUCUUCCAGGUUAUAACUCAAGUUUGAUCUGCACUUGACGUGUGGGCGCCUUUAUCACUACCAAAGCAACUAGCACGAGAAAUUUUUUCUCUGAUCUGUAUAAAGUGGCUGCUCACCUUUUUCUUUAGAGAAAAUAAGUCUUUUUAUAUCUUCCUUUAGUGAAAACCCUAGACUCCAAAUAAUGAAAAACAAAACUCACGUUACUUGCUUUUUCUAUAGGGGACCCACCUUGUAAACUUACAUAAGACCCUUUACACACAAGCUAAUUAAAUGGAGCCUCCCACUAAAUGAUAUAUUUAGGCUUUUGACCCAAAUAGCUAGUUAUCUUGCGUAUUAAUCCAGUAGUGGUGCAGUCAACUAAAUGAGCUAACCCGGGGAUCAUUUGGGAACAUACAAUAGUGGCUACAAUAAUUAGGCAUGUAAUUAAACUAGCCCAAUUAUUUAAUUCCAAAUCUACUCCACUAAAAGAUUGGAACUGACUUCCAUAAUUGUAUGCUCGAAUAAUAAUUCGUCCCAAGCCAUAUUGAUUUCUUUACUGCACAAUCAUUUGUACAACAUCGUUAAUUAAAUUGAUAUCUCAACUGUCCAAUCAAUUUAAUAACAUCUUAUUCCUUGAUACUUACUGGUUUUCUCUAAUGAUCAUUUUCAACGUACUAAAUAUGUUGACACACUCUGACCAGAGAAUUCUAUGAUCAAGUGCCGAAAACCCAUCAAGAGAUGUGUUGUACAAAUUCUAUAUUGUUAAUCUAUAACUCCAAUACUCAUAAAUGCUCCCACCAAGAUACCGGGUAAUCUAGACUACAAGUAUGUGUCAUGCCCAUUGGUAACUCAAAUGGAAUAACAAUUACAAUCAUGAAAUCAUAAUUAAUUUAAGAUUAAGAUUACAGUAAAAUCAAUGCCUAUGAGAUUUAAUAAGUCUGACAGUUAUUACAAAGUCAAUUAAAUCUCAUAUGUGAUCCUGUUCAAUGUAGUCAUACUACAUCAAUAAAUUCAUACAUGAUUAAGACAAAUCUUUCAAUGAAUUUAUUACAGUCUAUACCUAAAUAAAGUGUCCAACUUUAUUUAUCAACUGCGAACUAAAUUUAUUUAAUCAUAAGAUAACUUAUAUUUAUGUCUUAUGUGAAUCCACAUGGUGAUCACAUAAAUAUAUAUAAUACGAUUAAAUGGACUUUAAUAAAAAUAUUAAUGCAAUUAAGAUAUUUGAAUAAAAUACCUCAUUAAUUUUAUUAAUCAGAAAAAUAUUUAUUACAAUUAAAUAAAUACAUAUACUUUUAAAGAGCAUAUUUUCCCAACAAUCUCCCACUAACUCUUAAAGCAUAUCUAACAUAUUGCACAUGCUCUAGGGCUCUAAGUGUAGGUUAUAAAGGUUUCCCACUAAUGGCCUUUGUAAUAAGAUUUGCCGUUUAGCAUCUAAUGCCACUCGGGGUACUGUCAUAUAACCUUUCUACACUAUUCCCUUAUAAGAUGAUACUUCCUCUCAAUGUGUUUUUGUUUCUUGUGGUUCCUUGGUUCCUUAGAUUGAGCUACCGCACCACUAUUACCGCAAAAUAGUUUAAGGGGUGCAGUUACAGCAGGUACCACCUCAAGAUCUUGUAGGAACUUGCGGAGCCAUACAACUUCUUUUGCAGCUUCGGAUGCAGCCAUAUAUUCAGCUUCAGUUGUGGAGUCUGCGAUACAAGAUUGUUUCACACUUCUCCAACUAAUAGCUCCACUUCCCAAUGUAAACACAUAGCCGGAAGUUGAUUUUUUGGAAUCUUUAUCUGACAUAAAGUCAGAAUCAGUAUAACCCACUGGAAUAAGUUCAUCACCAGAAUACACAAGCAUAUAAUUUUUAGUUCUUUUCAUAUACUUUAUAAUAUGCUCGACUGCAUUCCAGUAUUGAGGUCCAUGAUUAAAUUGAUAUCUGCAAACCAUCCAUAGCGUAAAACAGACGUCUGGCCUAGUGCAAAGCAUGACAUACAUGAGACUUCCCACAGCUUCUGCAUAGGGAACUCGUCUCAUUCUCUCUAUCUCUUCAGAUGUUUUGUAUGGAAACGUGAUGUCUUAUUAACAAAAAAAGAAAAAAAGAUUAUUCUCGGAAACUAACAUAGGUUAUUUUGUUUUCUAACAUUAAGUUUAAUUUUAAAGAGUAAAAUUCAUUGUUCCUGUAAUCUUCUGUUUUUCUUUUUAUAAUUCUUAAUAAAGCUUCCCCCCUUUGCCGAAGUUGGACAAAAAAAAAAAACUCUGAUAGUCAAAUUAUUUGUGUAAAUACAAAUAUUGUACUAAUUAAGGGCAUGUGUCUUUAAUUAGAAAACUAAAAAGAUAAUUGGCUAUGCAUUUCACUUAUUAAUUCUUCCAAAAAUAUCGUAAGCUAACAAUUCCGGAGAAUAUCUACUAUCUGCAAGUUGAUUUUUGUAGCUUUUCAAUUGUUAGGAUGGCCUAUGUUUUCCAACAACCGAAAACUAAAGCCAGCUUGCUACCAUUUCCUUUGUCGCACAAACCAAUCACAUGCUCAAUCGAAGGUGUGGGGAAAAAAAUUGCCUUCUUGGUGCUUGAAUUAAUGUACAUUUUUUUUUUUCAAAAUGCAAACGUUGCCUAAGAUGGUAAUUAACGUGCAUCAUGUUUGCUAUCGUUAUUGAUUUUUCUUGUUUUCUUUAAUUAUUUUUCUAGAAUUUUAGGUCUCUACUCCUCAUCAAUUUAAUUUCAUAACAAUAAAAUUACCUUAUCAACUUGAAACAACGUUUCCAAAUUUUAGAAAAACACGUUCAAAUUUCGAAUUCCUAAUAAUCUUUUUUGUGGGAUGCUAUGAGAUAUUCUCGUCGCUCACUGAUUUUGUAAGAGGCAUUAAGCGUGACAUGCCUAGAUACUAGUUUAGCAAUUAAGAAUUUGAGAACUUAAGUUUUAACUUAAUUUGAAUGGAAUUCGUUAUACUCUCAGGGAGUGUGUUUAAAUAUCAUCAUGAAGUGCGAGCACAGUUAGAUUGAUCUAGAGUUAGUUUGUAAUAGUUUCUAAAAAGUAAAAUUAAUAUUACUAUAAAUGACAUUGAUUAAUUGAUUGUCACUUCCUCGCUUCAUUCUUUAGGGAAUUAGAGUAAAGAUUGAAGUCCUUUUGUGUGCAUAUUUAUAAAUAAAUUUGAUCUAUUUUAGAUCCAAAUAUCUUUUCUACACUAUUAUAAAACUAACAUAUUAUUUAGAACAUCAAACUCAUAUUAAUUCAAGCUAACCAUAUAGAUGAUCCCAAGAAAUAUAUUUGCCAACCAAAUUGUAAGUAGGAUUCUAUUAAAAAGCUUUCAAAUUAAUUCUUAAAAAAAUGAAGAGGGUAAAAGCUUGUUUCAUCCCUAUAUUUUAAUAUUAGUGUCCAUUUAGUCCCUAUAUUUUUCAAAAUGCCUCAAAACAUCCCUACCCUUAAAUUAUUGACAUCCCUGCUGUUACUUUUUGUUUCUUUUGACUUGUUUUUACAAUAUUACCCUCUUACAAUAAUGUUUCUUUUUAUAAAAUUAAUAAAAAGAAAAAAAUUAAAUUAUCAAUUUAACCCUAAAAAUAAAAUAAAAUAAAAUAUAUUAAUUUUUGUGAAAGUUUACAUGUGUCCAAAAAAAUUAUUGUAAAAAUAAUUAAAUUACCUAUUUUUUUGGACAUUAGUAAUAAAAAAAAUAUAUUAAUUCCUUAGCAUUGUGUUACAAAAAAGUAACAUAUAUUAAUUUUGUUUCUAUUUUAUUUUUUGAGAUUAAAUUGAUAAUUAAAUUUUUCUUUUUAUUAAUAUCCAAAAAAAUAUUGUAAAAGGGUAAUAUUGUAAAAAUUAAGAUAAAGCUAUAAAAAAUAAAAGGAAAUGUGCUAAUCUCACUUUCAACAAGCUACUAUAUAUAUAUAUAUAUAGGCCAGUACUACGUUACGAUUAAUGUAACGUAUAAUUAAUUAAUUUUGAGAUCUUGAAGCACUUUCCCAGUACAGCGACACAACGUGUUGUAAAAUCAAGCUAAAACAACACAACAAAAAACUUCGACCCUCAUUCAAUGAAAGUAUGAAACGCCAGUGCAAAUUUUGUCAUAUUUUUGGGGGCCACCGCCAAUUUGCAUCGUUUCCCCUGUUCUUUUGGAUGCUCGCUGGCAAACAAGUGGGUCGAAUUAAAAAACUAAUAUUAUUAUCAUUUCAUAUCUAAAAAUAAAUAUUAAAAAAAGCAUUAUUAUUUAACAACCCAUUAUCCCCUUUCGAUCAAAACUAUACAUAAAAUACUAAAUAUCAAGCAGCAACCAUUAAUAUAUUGAGAAUAUAAAUAAUUAAAAAGAAAAAAAACAGCACAUUGGUUUCAGUUUUUAUAUAUCACAUAUGCACAGCAAGAUUGACACUUCUAUCCUAUUUUACCCAACAGGGUUAAAGAUUCACAUGGCUUUACCAAUGAGUGAAAAUGAAACAAGGACAAAUAAUCAAAUAAUAAUUAACUUCUCUUUUAUUUGGACUCUUUGGUCCAAGCAAUGAUGUAAGCUUCGCUCUAUAUAAUAAGCUUAUAACCUAAACUGUCCAGCAAAUUAAACAUACACUUCACACACAAGGCUUCUUGUUUUUGUAGUAGUUUCAUGGCAGCUUGAGUUUCUAUCUCUUCUUCCAAACCCUAGCUUAUAUAAUUAAACACUCGCAGUCUCUCUCUCUCGCUCUCUGGCUAGCUAGCUUAGCAACAACAUGGCUGCAGGCUUGGGAGCCAAGAGCAACAACAAUACUGACCCUCAAAACCAAAAAACUCUUGCGGAUUUUGAUCCCCAAAAGAAACCAAAAAGAAAUCUGUAUGCCUCCGGCGCUGCCAUUUUGGCUUCCAUGACUUCAAUCUUACUAGGUUAUGGUAAGUUAACUUUGCAAGAACCCUUUCUUGUAUCUAUAUCUAUAAGUUUGCUUUACAUCGUGAUUCACGAAACAUGCAUCAUGGAGAUGGAAGUAAUAAGGUUUCUUUGUGAAGAAAAUCUUCUCAGAAAGUGGAUAAGUUUUGUGUGGGUGUUAGUCGGUUUAACAGGAAAAAAAACUGUUUAAAUUAGUAUAAGAAAUUAAGAGUUCGAAUCUCGCUGUCAUAAGAUUUUAUUUCAUGCAUGCGUGAUUGGUUCUGCAUGCAUUAAUUAAUUAUUAUUAUUAUUUUUUUUUGGUGUUCUUUUCUUGUAGACAUUGGAGUAAUGAGUGGAGCUGCACUCUACAUCAAAGACGACUUUAAAGUCAGUGACACAAAAAUCGAGAUCUUAAUUGGAAUCUUGAAUAUUUUCUCACUCAUCGGCUCACUGGCCGCCGGCAGAACCUCCGACUGGAUUGGCCGCCGGUACACUAUCGUGUUAGCCGGGGCCAUCUUCUUCGCCGGAGCGCUGCUCAUGGGGUUUGCCACAAACUAUGCUUUCCUCAUGGGGGGUCGCUUCGUCGCCGGCGUCGGCGUCGGAUACGCUGCAUU
rnacentral:lncRNA from 1 species